rnacentral:rRNA from 1 species
UACGGAGGGUGCAAGCGUUGUCCGGAUUUAUUGGGUUUAAAGGGUGCGUAGGCGGCUCUUUAAGUCAGUGGUGAAAUCCUACAGCUUAACUGUAGAACAGCCAUUGAUACUGAAGAGCUUGAGUACAGACGAGGUAGGCGGAAUUUAUGGUGUAGCGGUGAAAUGCAUAGAUAUCGGAAGGAACAUCAGUGGCGAAAGCGACUUCCUGGACCAAUACUGACGCUCAUGUGCGAAAGCGUGGGGAGCAAACAGG